AUCACGCCGCCGACGCAGUGCGACAACCAACCGCUUUCAUCAGUCUUUCACGAACAAUCAUCAUGGCCGAUAACGAACGUAUACGAAGGCGUCGGUGCAGCAAGGGGGAGCGCCGUUCGUGUGCAAAGGUGGCGAUCGGGGUGGCCUACCCCCGCAUCAACCGCCCGCGGAACAUCAUCCUGGUUGACAUAACCGCCGAGUUGGGGGCGCUGAGAGCUACGUAAUAUCGCGGCAGCCACCGCAGCCCGAGGCCCAGUCUGGACCGUUACGGGCGGCGGCGGAGGAAAAAAGAAAAUGAAGAAUGGAAGGGCGAGAGGGCGGAAAAAUGAGAAAAAAAAAAGGAAAAAU
rnacentral:lncRNA from 1 species